rnacentral:rRNA from 1 species
UACGUAGGGGGCUAGCGUUGUCCGGAAUCAUUGGGCGUAAAGCGCGCGUAGGCGGCCAGAUAAGUCCGGUGUGAAAGUCACAGGCUCAACCUGUGAAUGCCGCUGGAAACUGUCUGGCUAGAGUCCGGAAGGGGCGAGUGGAAUUCCUGGUGUAGCGGUGAAAUGCGCAGAUAUCAGGAGGAACACCAAUGGCGAAGGCAGCUCGCUGGAACGGUACUGACGCUGGAGGCGCGAAAGCGUGGGGAGCGAACAGG